rnacentral:rRNA from 1 species
UACGUAGGGUGCAAGCGUUGUCCGGAAUUAUUGGGCGUAAAGAGCGCGUAGGCGGUCCGAUAAGUCGGCUGUGAAAGUUAGGGGCUCAACCCUUGAAAGCCGGCCGAUACUGUCGGACUAGAGUCCGGAAGAGGCAAGUGGAAUUCCCGGUGUAGCGGUGAAAUGCGCAGAUAUCGGGAGGAACACCAAUGGCGAAGGCAGCUUGCUGGGACGGUACUGACGCUGAGGCGCGAAAGCGUGGGGAGCAAACAGG